AUGCACUCUUGCCACUUCCAGACUCAAUCUCUGACUCAUAAUCCAUUGUACAGUAGGGAAGGUGCCAUGAGGCUGCAACACUGCCUCUCCUGGAGCCUCUCUUUGCUACUUCUGCUCUUGUUGACUUGUGGGUACCAGUGCGUGUCGGUCCACUUCCAGACCCCGCAGCCGGUCAAUGUACUCCCAGCAGGACGUCUAGUUCUCCAGGUCCAGAUCGACCGCGGUCCCAAAGAAAAUAUCUCCAUGAUAACCUGGUAG
rnacentral:lncRNA from 1 species